GGAAUCUUGCGCAAUGGGCGAAAGCCUGACGCAGCAACGCCGCGUGGAGGAUGAAGGCCCUUGGGUUGUAAACUCCUGUCGGCUGGGAAGAAAUCAUACGGUGCUAAUACCACCGUGUGUUGACUGUACCAGCAAGGGAAGCCCCGGCUAACCCUGUGCCCGCAGCCGCGGUAAUACAGAGGGGGCCAGCGUUAUUCGGAAUUAUUGGGCGUAAAGGGCGCGUAGGCGGCCAUGCGUGUCUUCCGUGAAAUCCCUCGGCUUAACUGAGGACGUGCGGAAGAAACUGCAAGGCUCGAGUCCGGGAGAGGGGGGUGGAAUUCCCAGUGUAGCGGUGAAAUGCGUAGAUAUUGGGAGGAACACCGGUGGCGAAGGCGGCCCCCUGGACCGGUACUGACGCUGAGGCGCGAAAGCGUGGGUAGCAAA
rnacentral:rRNA from 1 species